UUGGAGGGCAAGUCUGGUGCCAGCAGCCGCGGUAAUUCCAGCUCCAAUAGCGUAUAUUAAAGUUGUUGCAGUUAAAAAGCUCGUAGUUGAAUUUCGGGAUCAAUAUGUUGGUCGUGCCUUUGGUACGUACUAGCUUAUUGAUUUCUCCCUUCUGACGAACCAUGAUGUCAUUAAUUUGGUGUCAUGGGGAAUCAGGACUGUUACUUUGAAAAAAUUAGAGUGUUUAAAGCAGGCUUACGCUUGAAUACAUUAGCAUGGAAUAAUGAAAUAGGACGUUUUGAUUCUAUUUUGUUGGUUUCUAGGAUCGACGUAAUGAUUAAUAGGGAUAGUUGGGGGCAUUAGUAUUCAAUUGUCAGAGGUGAAAUUCUUGGAUUUAUUGAAGACUAACUACUGCGAAAGCAUUUGCCAAGGAUGUUUUCAUUAAUCAAGAACGAAAGUUAGGGGAUCGAAGACGAUCAGAUACCGUCGUAGUCUUAACCAUAAACUAUGCCGACUAGGGAUCGGAUGAUGUUAAUUUUUUAAUGACUCAUUCGGCGCCUUACGGGAAAC
rnacentral:rRNA from 1 species